GCGAACGCUGGCGGCAGGCCUAACACAUGCAAGUCGAACGAACCUUUCGGGGUUAGUGGCGGACGGGCGAGUAACACGUGGGAACGUGCCUUUAGGUUCGGAAUAACUCAGGGAAACUUGUGCUAAUACCGAAUGUGCCCUUCGGGGGAAAGAUUUAUCGCCUUUAGAGCGGCCCGCGUCUGAUUAGCUAGUUGGUUGAGGUAAUGGCUCACCAAGGCGACGAUCAGUAGCUGGUCUGAGAGGAUGAUCAGCCACAUUGGGACUGAGACACGGCCCAAACUCCUACGGGAGGCAGCAGUGGGGAAUCUUGCGCAAUGGGCGAAAGCCUGACGCAGCCAUGCCGCGUGAAUGAUGAAGGUCUUAGGAUUGUAAAAUUCUUUCACCGGGGACGAUAAUGACGGUACCCGGAGAAGAAGCCCCGGCUAACUUCGUG
rnacentral:rRNA from 1 species